AAGCGGCAAAAGCUCAAAUUUGAAACCCUCGGGAUUGUAAUUUGAAGAUUUGGCAUUGGAGAAAGCUAACCCAAGUUGCUUGGAAUAGUACGUCAUAGAGGGUGACAACCCCGUCUGGCUAACCGUUCUCCAUGUAUUGCCUUAUCAAAGAGUCGAGUUGUUUGGGAAUGCAGCUCAAAGUGGGUGGUAAACUCCAUCUAAAGCUAAAUACUGGUGAGAGACCGAUAGCGAACAAGUACUGUGAAGGAAAGGUGAAAAGAACUUUGAAAAGAGAGUGAAAUAGUAUGUGAAAUUGUUGAUAGGGAAGGAAAUGAGUGGAGAGUGGCCGAGGUUUCAGCCGCCCCUCGUGGGCGGUGUACUGCCGACGCCGAGUCAUCGAUAGCGAGACGAGGGUUACAAAUGGGAGCGCCUUCGGGCGUUCUCCCCUAACCCUCCACACUGCC
rnacentral:rRNA from 1 species